UAUUUCAAUGUAUUUUUUUCAGAUUAUCUUCAUAGAACCUGUCGCUUCCAGUGAGAUGGUAAUCUACCCAAAUAAAUUUAAGAGAGCCUGUUAAGAGCCCCUGUUUUGGGGUAGAAGACAAUUGUCCCUAUCCCAAUUUCCAUUGAAAUAUGAGAGCAGAUUUGUAGAGACCAUCAUGUCAGAGAAGAAAUUUCCUUGUCAGAGAUGUUAAAGGGCUACAGUCCCUUACCAAAAAACUUUGAAAUCUAAGUUGGUUUGUGUUUUUCUGAAUUUGAUACCGUAAUUCAUUUGGCAGCAAAAUCUGACUUGACCUGAUGUGAGAGUAUUGUACUUUUUUUUAAUGCUACUCCAUUGUGACUGUUAAUUUUCCCUGAAGAAAUAUCCAUGGAUUUGAUUCUAGGUAUUCCCCUAGAUGCUGUGGAGGUGUUUUGUAAUAUUCAAAAUAUGCCCAUGUUGCCUUUUUAAAACCCCAAAGGUUAUGAAUUCUAAAACACAUCCAGCGCAAAGGGUUUUGGAUAAGGUGUUGUAAGCAUUUAAGCAGCCGCACGUAGUGGGCUGACUUCAUCCAAAACAUAGAAAUAUUACAAGGCAAAUUCUAUUUUUCAUAUUUUUUGGUUCAAUGCUUGAACAACUUGUUUUUCUGCUGGGUGAAGAGAAAAAAAACAAAAAACAACCGUGAGUAUGAUUGUUAUGGAAACUAGUGACUUUGUUUUUAAAGGAUCACAUUGAUUCAACACCUUCUGUUGGACCCAGAAGUGGGUAAAUAUUACCUAUGGCAGGAAAUGUUUAAUUAUAAUUCAGUUUAAAUGCUGGUUUUCUGUAUGUAGCCAAGAACAGCUCAUUUUGUGAAUUUCAGUUUUCAAGUGGCUGCUUUUUGAUUUGGUUGUAUUAUUUUAUUAUAAUGUAUUUGUAAGUACAUCAAAAAAUUUAAAAAUUAACAUUCAGCCAUAAAAAAUCCCCAAAUAUGUUCAAGGACUUCAUAUUGAAAAAUAUAUAGAAAACAAUCUUUCUUUCUUUUUACAAAAACAAAAUCAUGGGAAUUAUUCUUUUCUAUAUAUUUAGUUAUAAAUCUUUCUCUGGGCCGGGCACAGUGGCUCACGCCUGUAAUCCCAGCACUUUGGGAGGCUGAGACGGGUGAAUCAUGAGGUCGGGAGUUCAAGACCAGCCUGGCCAAUGCGGUGAAACCCCGUCUCUACUGAAAA
rnacentral:lncRNA from 1 species